GACGAACGCCGGCGGCGUGCUUAACACAUACAAGUCGAACGGAAAGGCCCUGCUUUUGUGGGGUGCUCGAGUGGCGAACGGGUGAGUAACACGUGAGUAACCUGCCCUUGACUUUGGGAUAACUUCAGGAAACUGGGGCUAAUACCGGAUAGGAGCUCCUGCUGCAUGGUGGGGGUUGGAAAGUUUCGGCGGUUGGGGAUGGACUCGCGGCUUAUCAGCUUGUUGGUGGGGUAGUGGCUUACCAAGGCUUUGACGGGUAGCCGGCCUGAGAGGGUGACCGGCCACAUUGGGACUGAGAUACGGCCCAGACUCCUACGGGAGGCAGCAGUGGGGAAUAUUGCACAAUGGGCGGAAGCCUGAUGCAGCAACGCCGCGUGCGGGAUGACGGCCUUCGGGUUGUAAACCGCUUUCGCCUGUGACGAAGCGUGAGUGACGGUAAUGGGUAAAGAAGCACCGGCUAACUACGUG
rnacentral:rRNA from 1 species